GUGAGGAAUAUUGCGCAAUGGAGGCAACUCUGACGCAGCCAUGCCGCGUGCAGGAAGAAGGCGCUACGCGUUGUAAACUGCUUUUAACCGGGAAGAAACCCCAGGACGUGUCCUGGGUUGACGGUACCGGAGGAAUAAGCACCGGCUAACUUCGUGCCAGCAGCCGCGGUAAUACGAAGGCUGCAAGCGUUAUCCGGAUUCAUUGGGUUUCAAGGGUGCGUAGGAGGAGCGUUAAGUCAGUGGUGAAAUCCUGCAGCUUAACUGUAGCUGUGCCAUUGAUACUGGCGCUAGUGAGUGCGCUUGAAGUGGGCGGAAUGUGCCGUGUAGCGGUGAAAUGCUUAGAUAUGGCAGAUAACACCAAUGGCGAAGGCAGCUCACUAGGGCGAUACGGACGCUGAGGCACGAAAGCGUGGGGAUCGAACAGGAUUAGAAACCCUUGUAGUCC
rnacentral:rRNA from 1 species